AAAGUGUAGUUUAUCCUAAAGCUAAUCAAUUUGCGAAUCACGUGACAUAUGUUGGGAGUGAACUCGUGUUCAUUUAGUAGGCAGUCAGUGAAGCACGAGGAAGGACGCAAAGCGAAGCAGCGAGGAAGGACACAAAGUUAGGAAGAAAGGCUGAUGAGUCUACGCCUUCAUAACCCAAGUUUGUUCUGAUGUCUGCCAUCAUUCCAGUUGACUCUCACAGUGCUGAACUUUAACAGCUGUCAGAAUGGGAACCAGAACAACCCCAGUGAAAGCCAAGACAUUUUCAUUCUUAAAAUUAACCAAUGCAAAUCAUGCUUGUUGAGAGUGCAUGUUCAUUCAGCAGACAGUUGGUAAAGGACAAAAAAGUGAACACAAAGCAAGGAAGGAAGGCUUAAGAGCAGAGACUUUCAUUAUUUCCAUGCAUGGAUACUGAAAUAAUGACUGUCCUUGUGUAGAGAUCCAGACACUUUGUUCCCAAGGUGAUGUAAAAUGGUGUGAAGUGUUGUGUAUGUAUUCUGCCUUCACUCUACUAGACCACUACUGCAUGGAUCUUCAGAAUCUUUAAUUAGAACUUGAUGACACUGAGGAAAUAUUCUACAAUCUUCACUAUGGUUACUGUUGAAUUGUAAUUCCCAUGUAGCAAUUGCUCUACAGUGUAAAGUCAGCAUGUGUGUUUUUCUAAGAAAGGGACAAGGUGUGUCAAGGCGGAAGCUCUGCAUCUGGACAGGAUGGGAGUAGUUGUAUUCCAAUGGCUGUAAGCAUAAAAUCACCUGGCCUUGUGUGGAAGACAUCUAUGAAUCGAUCAAUCAGAUGUAUACCUCUAAUUUAAACUUCUGAAAAUCCCCAUGGUUGUGGGUGGUGCGGACAGAAUAUGAGCCAGGAAGUAGAUCUGUAAAAGCCCAGACAUUCCAUAUGUAGGAGUAUCUUCAUUCUUCAAGUCUGUACAAGAGAUCUAUGUGCAGAUGAUUAUGAGCCAAUAUAAUACAACGAUUCAGCACAUCAUAUCAAUCCAACUGAAGGACAAAGUAUCCAUUGAUGCAGUUGCAUCUUAGCUAAGAAGUUAACUUGGAUCUGCUUCACAGGGAGUAACUGAUUAUCAACUAAGUAGUAGGAUACAGUUUUCUGAUCAGAUGAAAUCGCUUUAUCUUACCUGGCUGGAAUUUAAAGAGCUGAGGCUACCAUCAGGAAAAUCUACCAUGUAAUAACGCUAACCCAGAACAUUGCUACUGAGUCUACCACACAGUAAUGCUGACAAGGAAAUUAAUACUUAAAUAACUAUUGAGUCUACCGGAUGCCUCCGUGGCCGAGUGGUUAUAAGGUCGCUGACUUCAAAUCACUUGCCCCUCAUCGAUGUGGAUUCGAGCCUCACUCAGGGCGUUGAAUUCUUCAUGUGAGGAAGCCAUCCAGCUGGCUUAUGGAAGGUCUUCCUCCACCAUUAAAGUUGGAAAGUCGCCAUAUGACCUAUCCUGUGUCAGUGCAACGUUAAAUCGAAAAAAAAUUUGAGUCUACCACACAGUAACACGAACCCAGAGCAUUGUUACUAUGUCUUCUAUACAGUAACAUUCAAGUAAUGGUCAAAGGUGGUAGUGAAAACUCAUUGAAUGUGACAUCAAAGUUUAGAUGACUGUGAAAGAAAGAUAGUUAUACUUACUAGUAAAAAUCUAUAAGGUUAGAUAUUAAAAUGUUUAAAAAUGACAGUAGGUACACUAAAAUGUGAAUGAUAUGAUUGUGUUUUGAUUGAUAAUGUCAAAUAAUAAAGUUUAACUCAUUGUU